AGCACUUUGGGUGUGUGUGUGUUUGUUCAACUGGUGGACAAAGGCAUGAAAGACAGGUGCAAAAAUAAAUCCUCUUUUGCAACCCAGAAAUCAUUGUUCAGUAUGAGUUUUGAUACAUACAAGAAGGAAUACG
rnacentral:snoRNA from 1 species